rnacentral:lncRNA from 1 species
AGAGAUUAUAGUGAUUUCAAGAAUGGAAGUUUCAAAACUCAACAUUUAUUUCAUGAUGCUUAGAGAAGAGCACCAACAAGUGGAUUCUGCAGCUGGAUGAGGAAAAUGCAUGCCAAGAAAGGCCAGCAACCUUCCAAGAUAUGGCUGUGAGUUGCUUGGUUGGAACAUCACUGAGGCCAUGGUCAUGAGUUAAAAGACUGAAGGCAAAAUGAGACCAUUUUGUCCAAAGUGCAUAUAAAGAAAAAUCCCUCCCUAUGAUAUCACCUAGAAAAGGCCAUCCCUGCUUCUUUGAUCCAAAGAUACCCACUAAGAAUAUAAACUUGCAGAAUAGUUGCAAUUUGCCUCGAUUGAUAAUUUUGCUUCUGAGACUUUUCUUACACCAAUGAAGUCACAGGUUUGUAGGAAUAAAAACAAAUCGUUAAUGUCA